rnacentral:rRNA from 1 species
UGGCGGCAGCUUACCAUGCAAGUCGAACGGUAGCAGGAGAAAGCUUGCUUUCUUGCUGACGAGUGGCGGACGGGUGAGUAAUGCUUGGGAAUCUGGCUUAUGGAGGGGGAUAACUACUGGAAACGGUAGCUAAUACCGCGUAAUAUCGGAAGAUUAAAGGGUGGGACCGAAAGGCCACCUGCCAUAAGAUGAGCCCAAGUGGGAUUAGGUAGUUGGUGGGGUAAAGGCCUACCAAGCCGACGAUCUCUAGCCGGUCUGAGAGGAUGACCAGCCACACUGGAACUGAGACACGGUCCAGACUCCUACGGGAGGCAGCAGUGGGGAAUAUUGCACAAUGGGGGGAACCCUGAUGCAGCCAUGCCGCGUGAAUGAAGAAGGCCUUCGGGUUGUAAAGUUCUUUCGGUGAUGAGGAAGGCAGAUAAGUUAAUAGCUUAUUUGAUUGACGUUAGUCACAGAAGAAGCACCGGCUAACUCCGUGCCAGCAGCCGCGGUAAU